GGAGGGGUUCCACGCGUACCCAUCCCGAACACGACCGUUAAGCCCUCCAGCGCCGAUGGUACUUGGACCGAAGGGUCCCGGGAGAGUAGGACGCCGCCAAGC
rnacentral:rRNA from 1 species